rnacentral:rRNA from 1 species
GACGAACGCUGGCGGCGUGCUUAACACAUGCAAGUCGAACGAAGAGCGACGGAAGCUUGCUUCUAUCAAUCUUAGUGGCGGACGGGUGAGUAACGCGUAAUCAACCUGCCCUUCAGAGGGGGACAACAGUUGGAAACGACUGCUAAUACCGCAUACGAUCUAAUCUCGGCAUCGAGGAUGGAUGAAAGGUGGCCUCUACAUGUAAGCUAUCACUGAAGGAGGGGAUUGCGUCUGAUUAGCUAGUUGGAGGGGUAACGGCCCACCAAGGCGAUGAUCAGUAGCCGGUCUGAGAGGAUGAACGGCCACAUUGGGACUGAGACACGGCCCAGACUCCUACGGGAGGCAGCAGUGGGGAAUCUUCCGCAAUGGACGAAAGUCUGACGGAGCAACGCCGCGGGAGUGAUGACGGCCUUCGGGUUGUAAAGCUCUGUUAAUCGGGACGAAAGGCCUUCUUGCGAAUAGUGAGAAGGAUUGACGGUACCGGAAUAGAAAGCCACGGCUAACUACGUG